rnacentral:ncRNA from 2 species
AGCGAUCUCAUGGGGUGCCCCCCGGGGCUGAGAGGCGCAAGCCAACCCAUCGAACCUGAUCCGGGUCAUGCCGGCGGAGGGAGAGAUGCAGAUGCGUC